CUGACCUCAAGUGAUCCACCUGCUUUGGCCUCCCAAAAUGCUGAGAUUGCAGGUGUGAGCGACCACGCCCAGCUGCUGCUUAUCAUCAUUCAAUGAAGCAACUUGCUGGCGUUCAGGUCCCCAGGCCUGGUGUGUGCAGCAGAUACCCUGGAGUGGGGAGCCAUCCCCUCCCUUUGCAGAAGGGCAGGGCUCCCCAGAGAUGAGCUUGGGAGCCUUGAGUUCACCCAGCAAUGGAGUGGCAAUCCCCACCCCCAGCAUUCCUUGGCCCACAUCCCCAGUGCCCCCAAGAUCAACUGGCUGGAGACAGCUGCACCACUUGUGCCUUUCCACCCUGCCCCAAAGUCACUGUCCCAGGCCCAGAGUGGGGAGUGAUGUCCCCAAGGCAAUACAGGAAGUCUGCAACAGAGCCAGACUAGGCCAGGGGAGGCAGGGAGAGUAAGAGGCUGAAGGCCUGGGCCACCUAGGGCACCAGCCAAGCUUCCUCCUUGAGCCCAGGUGGGGAGGCCCUUCCUGAGCAAAGGCUAGGGGUCUGUGUCCUCUCCCUGCUCUGAAGAAGGGGAACAGUUAUAAGAUUGACGAGGGAAGUACUUUUAUCAUCAGCUCAGUAUCGGGGUGGGCAUCGUUCCUUCUUCGCUGCCUUGAUCACUCCCUCUGGUCUUCUAGUCAUUGGCCUGUAGAAGUGGGCUACAGUCCACUCCCCUGCAUGAGACUAGAAGCUCCUUGAAGGCAGGAGAUGUGUCUAUUUUAUUCUCCACUGGGUUUCCAAUGGCUGUGUGAGAGAUGAAGGCAUGGAUGCUGAAGAACCACUCUGAAAGGGAUACCAACACUGAGGGAAGCCAGUGCCAGAGAAGGAAAGGAAGGGUUACUUCUGGAGUGCGUGGUAUUUGGGGCUGAGCCUUUAUGGUUGUGGAGGUUUCAGGGAAAGCUGGCUGAGAUGGGGUUUACAGGAGAGGGCGGGAGGCCCUGCAAGAGUGAAACCUGGACACCUGGAGAUGCCAGGCCCUUCCUCUAUGAGCUGAAGGUCCCUGAUACUGGUGAGAGGCCAAGCUGAAACCUUUGGCCAGGGGUCAGGUGUAGGGGAAGGCAGUUCCUGGGUCCACAGGUACUGGAAGCCUGGGUGCCUACUCUCUGCUGUCCAUAGGACUCCCAGUCCAGCCGGGAGAGGUGCUCCUUCUCCCUGGGUAGGGUAGGCGGCCCCGGCCUUUUCCACCAGUCACACUGGCCCUUCCAUUAUGGCUCUCCCUUGGAGCUUCUAUUUCUAGGAGUUCCCUGUGAGCCUCCAGCCCUCUCCCUUGCUAUGUGACCCAGAGAAACCCUCCAGCCCUCAGAGAGGGUCACAUAGAGAGGGAGAGGCAGAGCUGGGACUAACUCCAGGCCAGGACCUCUAGCUCCACCUCCACCAGGUACAAGGUCCUUAUUCAGGCUGGUUGCCACGGGGUGGCCCCAGCAUCAGGUCCCACGUUCUCACUGUGGUUCAGCCAGGAGCCCAGCAUUCCCACACUGCCCGGGAGGACUUCUGUUGUCAGGGGCAUCUUCCCUGGCAGUGCCCACGGCCCUACACCUGAACCUGAGUUCAGGGCGCUGAGAGUGCUGGCUUCAGGAAAGCCUAUUCUCCGGGUCUUUAAGAGGGUCUCUUCUGACACCCCCAUGAGACUAGGUCUUCCCCAGGGCAGGGCCUGUGCCUCCUCCAUCAGACUGGAGACUCCUUGUUCACAGGCCCCUCAAGCUUCAACUCUCCAGUCCUGUGGCACCGAAUCUCACUCCAGGAUCCCCCAACACCCUCAAGGCUGGUAAGAUACACCCUCAUGCACCUCCUACUCCAGGCCAGGCCUCUCCGCAGGCUGGGGGUGGAGGCCUGGCCUGGGUCAGGUAGGGGUGUGGGGGGCAGAUCUUCCAGCCCCCUCUCCCUGGAAGGCCCUUGUGGUCACGGACCACAUCUUGUUUGUUCCCACGUCCCCCGUGCCAAUUGCAGAGACUAGCCUAGAGUGGGCUCUGGUGACAUGAACAAGGAGGAUGUAGAGAAGGUGACUUGGGAUGUUCCCUGAGGGGAUUCAGAAAGAAGUUCCAGGCCUCCAGAUCCCCAUCCCCGCCAGCUCCCCAAGAGCCACAGUCUGGAUGGAAUUCCACUGAGGGAGACAUGUCUUUGACAUUCUCUUCCUGGGAAUAAUUCAGAGGGUUCAUUUACGAUGCUCAGACCCGGAGGCUUUAGGGACUUUUGAGUCAAGAAACCGGGGUAGAAACCUGGGUGCUGGGAGAUCUGGGCAGGGGUGGGUCUGCCAGCCUGCUCCUCAGCCUCCAGCGGGGAAGGGGUGAGCCCCCAGAGCGGGACUGACCUCCAGACAGGCUUGUGCUGCAUGAGCUCUUGGGGCCUGUGGGAAUAGUGGGGCCUCUGACAGACGCUUUAUCAGGCCCUGUCGCCAGCGUUAUCUGCGGCUUCUCAGCAAAGAAGGAGCUACAGUCACUCAGACCACUCCAGGCUGGGAACAAAGCAGCCGAGUCAGCUGGCGUCCCAUGGCUCUACUGCCAGACCCGUAGGCUCGGCAGCCUGCGCCCCAAGCUGGGUGUUCAAGGAGGUGGCUGGCCCAGCCAGGCGACGGCUGGUCUGCUGGGACUCCCCCGCUCAGAGCCUGCCCUUACUGGGACCACCUCCCUUGAGCCUGUCUUCAGAAGGGGGAUGGGGCAUGGGGUCACUCCAGUCCUUCCAGGGCCCUGCUGAAAUGUCAGCCACAAAGGAUGGGACACAGAGGGGCCUGUCCAGGAACAAUGGCCAAGUGUCGGCGUGGGAUGAGGGCUGGGGCAGGGCUGGUCAAAUGUUUACUUGGAAUGAUUUGAGUGGGCACCCUCAGGCCACGGGGGCAGCUGGCGCCUGGCACGGAGCCCCUCUACCCACUCUCAUGGGGCACUGCAAGGAUUCAGGCCCACCCCAGAUGGGGCCUGAAUGAGAAAGCACCCAGAGAGGGCAGCCAGCCAAGGCCUGGGCAUGGUCCUUCUCUGUCAGUCUCUGCCCUCUGUUGGGGAGAAGCGGGAGCUGGGAGGGCCAGCUCCUCUCAUUCAGGAAGCACCUGCUUCUCUGGUCUCCUGCAGGGCUGCCAGAAAUGGUUGGGCAGAUCACGCACUGCAAAAGGGCACCUUGUCGCUGAAAUAAGUGGAUCUGAAAUUCGUGCAAUGCGGUAAGGGGCUGAUUUAGUCCAGAGGCUGCUUUUUGGCAAUUUUCUGCUAGGAGAGGGCGCCAUUGUGUACUGGGCACUGGGGAUGACAACGUGGUUCUUCUGGUAGGAGCUCACAAGGUAUUCGGGGGAGGGUUGCCAGAUGUAAUACAGGAUGCCUAGUUGGAUUUGGGUUUCAGAUAAUCAUCAAAUAUACAUAUGUAAAAUAUGGGAUAUUAUAAACAUUAUACAUGUAAUGCUUUUAGUAUAAGUCCCAUGCAUUAUUGCAAUAUCUGAAGUGUCAUAAGGGACACCUCCCCCCGGCAUGUAGGGUUAGGGCCCUGGGGCCAUGCGGGAGGCUUAGCAGCCGGGCAGUGCAGAGGAGCCCGAGAGGCAACAGGGACAAGAUGGAGUGUGGCCUUGAAGUGCCGGGAGUGAGCCGGGCCAGGUGGGGUUGUGAGUGGGGCGCGUACUGUGGCAGGCUCCCUCUGGCGGCCGUGUGGGGAACAGGCUGCAGGGCGCCGCCGAAGAGGCCACUCCGUGAGGAGCCCCGGGCAGGGAGCGUGCAGCUGGAGAGAAACGGCUGACUCUGGACAUCUGAACUUUUUAUGAUGGAGAACGGUAAACGUAUACAAAAGUAGUGAGACGAGGCACGCCCAUGUCCUCAUGACUCGCGUCAACCAUCAUCAGAUCAUGGCCAAUUAUGUUUCAUGUAAACCUCUCACCCCUCCCAGCAACGAGAUUAUUUUGAAGCAAAUCCCAGACUUCAUAUUAUUUCAUCCAUAAAAAUGUCAGUAUAUAUCACUAAAAGAUAAGGCCUGGAUGUAUUUUGAAGCUGGAGCCACCAGGAAUUUGCCCGGAGCCUUCAAGCCGCUAUUAAGAGGGAGGGGCCCCUCCCCCAGGAAGCUUCACACUGUGCAGUUAGUUCCCCACUCUUCUGACCACCCCUCCUAGAACUUUCUAGUUUUUUCUCCCCUGGGAUAAGUCUUCCUAGGCCUGAGCCUGUUCUCUCCCCGCUCCUGACUGUGCACCCUCCUUGAGGAUGCCCCUUGGGAUGUGGUCUUGGGGUCUCCAGAGCCUCCUCCCCAGAGCUCAGAGCGCCCACAGCCCUUUCCUCUCCGUAGUCCCUAGAUAACGGGAUUGCCUAAGUGUAGGCCUUCAAAGAUGACCCCUCCUGGGAAUUCAGAACAGGCAGGCACCCUGGUGAAUGAGAGGAGAGCUCACAGGAAGUCACAGAACGAGGGUCAGGGACACAGAUUCGAACAUGAAGAUACUACUAAGCGAAGAGGAGGCUCUUGGCUCUCCAGAAGGCCACCUCCUCCAGAAAGCCGUCUGGCUCUGCCUCCCUGGGAGAUUUUGGGUAGGUCAAUUCCCCUCUCCGGGCCUGAGACAGGAACCAGUUCCUUACACAGAGCUUCUCCUUUCUCUCCCUCCUCUCAGAUUCUGCACCUGCAAAGUCCCUUGGCAGGGAGGAGCUGAGGGGCAAACUGGACUCGGAGGGAGACUGCCAGGACUUUAACUUCCGACAGGCGUAGUAACCGCACUUUACAGGAGAGGAAGGUGACGUGGGAGAGUAGGGGCUGCUGUCAUGGAAGGAGGCCUGGCAGUGGAGGAAGAAGACAUGAGCCUUGGGCCAGACUCUUACUGGAUCCCCAACCCACCUGCCCCGUCUUCAGCAGACAAGUGGCUACCCGGCACAAUGGCUCCAGUUGCUGAACUGUGUGUGGGAGCCUGGUCUCUGGGUGCCCAGAAUGAAGAGUCAGACCCAGGCCACUGCCUGAGUCUUUCUUUCAAGGACAGAAGUAAGAACUACAGGCCUAACAAUAACAUCCCUGGCUAUUUGUAGAAGGCCGCUUGGUCAGCCCAUGCUGACCAACAUGAAUUUCUCAUACAACCCAUUUUUAGAUGGGGAAACAAGAGCUCAGAGAGGCUAGGUAACUUGUUCAAGAUCACACAGCUCUGAGCGCAAGUGUUCAAACAUAGUCCACACUUUCCAUCUGUCUCCAAAUCCUGUGCAGUUUCUGGAAUACUUUGCUGUCACUGUGCCUUGCACACAUCCAGGAUUUGAUAAAUUCCUGGAUAAUAAAAGGCAGGCAUGAAUGAAUAUAUAACCAGCACUUUCUGUUUGACUUCCACACUGCCCCAGACCCACACGCGCACGUCUGCAAGGGAAGAGUGACACAAUUGGGUUUGUCUAAGAGGGUGAUGGCUCGCGGGGCCAAAGGGAGAGGUGAACCCUGCAUCCCAGAGGGGUGAAUUCUCUGAUGUGAAUCCUCUGGGUAGUAGGGAGUAAUGCGUCCUGAGCACGACGGGGACUGGCACCCCCUGAUGCACUGUCCCAGUUAGGUUGUAUCUGGUGCUGUGGCCCAUGAACGUCCCACAGCCAGGGCUGGCCUGCAGGCUCAGGACUUGCAAUUAAUCCAAAUUCUCUGAGAAGCAGGUGCCAAGUCAGGAUUAGAUGUGCAAGAGAUGUAUUAGGGAACACGGCUGUGAGGGAAGAUGGGGAGGCUGGGAGGACCAUCCGACCAUGAUACAGGUCUGUUGUGGACCUCAAGGAGCCUGCAGGGAGUGCAGCCACCUCAGACACACACCUUGGUGAUAGAUUUUACAGCUCAGCUGCUGAAGCCAUUGGUCAAUGAUGCUCCUCACAGUCAGAGAUCUGAGAGGGGCAUUUUCACAGCCACCACAGACCUUCUGCCUCCCAGGGCCUCCUCACCGGCCUGGCCUGGAGGACUGCCACUGGCACCCACAGUUAGAGGGAAGGAAGUUUCAGGCCUCUAUAAGCCAGGAGAGAAGUUCACUACUCCAGUUCGGGCCAGGUGUCCGGCUCUGGUGGGUGGAACCAUUUGCCCAGCUGUCCUUCAGCAGAGGGUUGGGGCCUGACCUCUGAAGUGAAGGCACCCACAGAGCUGGCCAUUGAGGGAAACGACCAGCAUCCUGGGGCAUGGGCACUGGCAGGGGAGACGAGGUCUUGUGAGAUGUAGGUGCCACUCUCUUGCAGAACCCACACAGCAGCUCCAUGAGGCCGGGAGCUGGUCUCUUGUUUAUCUGGGUGCCGGGUGUGCGCACCACCUGGCACUGACAGUGUCAGGGACUUCUGCUGGCCAGGACAGAUCCCAUGCCUACUCAAUGGCCACCACCCGUAGGGCAACAACAUCAGGACCUGUCUUCCCGUCUUCCCCGUUGGUCAGGGGUUUUGAAGCACUGUGGGGAAGCAGUCCAGGCUCUAGUGCUGGUUUGGGGUCUGACUCUCUCACUAACUGGAGCAAGUCCCUUACAUCCCCAGGCCUCAGUUUCCUUAUCUGUCGAGUGGAGAUCAUCACACUGAUGGCGAAGAGGCCUUGUGGUAUGGAGGAUUUGGGUUCAACUUUUUUUUUUGAGCUGAUUUGAAUCCCAUUUCCCCAGUUAUUUGCUAUAUCGUUUUAGGCAAGUUAUUCAAUCUCUUGAAGACUCAAUUUCCCAUCUACAAAAUGGGAGUGAAGAAGAAUCUCUUUUUCUUUCUAAGAGAAUGUGAGAAUUCAGUAAGGGAACCCUCAGACAGCUCUGAGCACAGCAUCUGGGGCAUCGCUGUGACGUGGCAGCACUCUCUGCAGCAUGCAGGCAGACACACCCCUUCCUCUCUCCUCCUUCACCUCUUCCCCAGCCCUUCCCCUCACAUCUCCUUCGCUAACGGGUCAAGCAGUGGUCAGUGUCUGGCCAACAAUGGAGACUCAACCAUGCGCAGAGAGUGAAAAUGCACUGCGGACCUCCUGCCCAGGUAGCCCCAACCUCAUUCAUUCACUUCCAGAAUGACAGGUGCUGUGCUGAAUGCCUGGGAAGAUGGCCCCAGUGUUCCUCCCCAAGGGGUUCCCAGUCACAUCAGCACAGCACAGGAUGGGUCCUGCUGUGCCAAAGCUCUCUGCAGGCUUGUAGGGACCCUGGCUGAGACGUCUGGACACCUGGAUUUCAAUCCAGUCUUUGCCAUCCACUCCCUGUGUGGCCCUCCCCCACAAACUAAAUAAAAAUUUCAUGAGUUGGGGAAGGAGACUCAAGGGGAAGUAAGAUGAGAGGAUGGAAGUGAGUUGAAGAGCAGGGAGGAAGGAGCCUGGAGCCUGGGCCUCCCUGUGUUGUGGUAUGUGCCAGAGUGGAAGCCGAAGUGGAAGCAGAAGCGAAAGUGGUCCUGCCGGUGGGUGUGACUGGCCUCACAGAGCGGCCAGGGCAGCAGGAUGUGCCUGCGUGCCCAAGAGGGUUUCCCACAGCCCCAGGUGGAUUGGACUCAGAAGCAUGUUUCUGAGUGCCCGAGAGUGUGGCCCAGACAAGGCACAGAGGACAGGAGUGUCAGAGGCAUUCAAACCACAGCGACUCCAUCCUCAACAGGGGCUGGGGAAAAUGAUGCUGAGGCCUGCCCGGUUGCAUUCCUAGGAGGUUAGACAUUCUUAAGUCACUGGAUGAGAUAGGAGGGGGCCACAAGAUACUGGUUACAAAGCCCCCGCUGAUAAAACAGGAUGCAGUAAAGAAGCUCGCCCAAACCAAAAUGGAUGAAAGUAACCUCUGGUCAUCCUAACUGCUCAUUAUAUGCUAAUUAUAAUGCAUUAGGAUGCUGAAAGACGCUCCCACCAGUCCCAUGACAGUUUACAAUUGUCAUGGCAACAUCUGAAAGUUACCCUAUAUGAUUUAAAAGGAAGAGGAACCCUCAGUUCUGGGAAAUUCCCACCCUUUUCCUGGAAAAUUCAUGAAUAAACCAUUCCUUGUUCAGCAUAUGAUCAAGAAAUAAACAAAAAUAGCCAAACCAGCAGCCCUCGAUGCUGCUCUGCCUGUAGAGUAGCCAUUGUUUUAUUCCUUUACUUUCUUCAUAAACUUGCUUCCGCUUUAC